rnacentral:rRNA from 1 species
AUUGAACGCUGGCGGAAUGCUUUACACAUGCAAGUCGAACGGCAGCACGGACUUCGGUCUGGUGGCGAGUGGCGAACGGGUGAGUAAUACAUCGGAACGUGCCCAGUCGUGGGGGAUAACGUAGCGAAAGCUACGCUAAUACCGCAUACGAUCUAAGGAUGAAAGCGGGGGAUCGCAAGACCACGCGCGAUUGGAGCGGCCGAUGGCAGAUUAGGUGGUUGGUAGGGUAAAGGCCUACCAAGCCGACGAUCUGUAGCUGGUCUGAGAGGAUGAUCAGCCACACUGGGACUGAGACACGGCCCAGACUCCUACGGGAGGCAGCAGUGGGGAAUUUUGGACAAUGGGCGCAAGCCUGAUCCAGCCAUUCCGCGUGCAGGAUGAAGGCCUUCGGGUUGUAAACUGCUUUUGUACAGAACGAAAAGGCUCUGGUUAAUACCCGGGGCUUAUGACGGUACUGUAAGAAUAAGCACCGGCUAACUACGUGCCAGCAGCCGCGGUAA